CGCCCCGGCAGAGCACUCCAUUGCUUCUCCCCGGCCUUCACGCCGCUCCCCUUCUCGCUCCUGCGCCGCUUCCCUUCCCCCGUCCCUGCCGCUAUAAAAGGGAAUGCGCGAGCCCGCCGGAGUUCCCUCCGCCAUUGCUGCCUUCCGCCAUUUCUCUUGCUCCCUGCUCAAGCUCCUAGCGCCACACCCUAAGUUCCUGAGAAACUCUCCUCUCAGCUCCCCUCCGUUUUCCCUAAGCCACCCAGCCGCUUGCUCCUCCGUGCUGCGUAAAAGCUCACUUGUGAUCCACAAGAAGCACCGCCGCCGCCGGAGCACUGCCGGACUUAGCCGUUGUUCAAAGCCUUAGUCCCUCCACCCAAGUCUGCUUCUUCCCGACCCCAAGCCUUCCUUGUAGGAAGAAGGUAAGCUGCCGACCUCAGUCCGCUUCGCCCGACCCCUCUUAUCCGCCCGACCCCGGUUCCGUCUCGCCCGACCCUAUCUGUUCCGCCGACCCUUAUCCGCCUCGCCCGAGGGCUCGGCUGUGAUCUUUUUCUUCAACCUGAGGGUGUAUGUGUAAAACUUAGGAACCCUUCAGCACUUGCGUCUGAGGAUCCCUAGUAUACCACAUCCUCUAGUUCAAGGAUCAGAUCAUAAGUUCCUUUCCAACCCUUACCUGUUGAUCUCCACCAGCUCCCUUGAACCUCCAC
rnacentral:lncRNA from 1 species